CAACAAUUACAACAUAUUUAUCUUAUUAUCUUAUCUUAUUAUUAUCAUAUUAACUCAGACACUAACUUAUGAUGCAUAUCUCCAUCACUAGUCAAGUGAACGUUUAACCCUCGAAGUUAAUAUGUAAAAAAAACAGCAGAAUGGGCAAGAGUAGGGAUCUUAGAAACUUUGACAAAGGAGAAAUUGUGUUGGUCAAAUCAGUGGGUCAGAGCAUCUCCAGAUCUUGUCGUUCAUUCCCAGUGUAAAGUGGUUCAAACCAGGGCAUU